ensembl:snRNA U4 U4 spliceosomal RNA
AGCUUUGCACAGUGGCAGUAUAGUGGCCAAUGAGGUUUAUCGGAGGCAUGAUUAUUGCUAAUUGAAAAAUCUUCCCAAUACCCCUACAUGACGACUUGAAGUAUAGUCAGCACUGGCAAUUUUUGACAAUCUCUAUGGAGA